rnacentral:rRNA from 1 species
AUUGAACGCUGGCGGCAUGCCUUACACAUGCAAGUCGAACGGCAGCACGGGUGCUUGCACCUGGUGGCGAGUGGCGAACGGGUGAGUAAUACAUCGGAACGUACCUUAUCGUGGGGGAUAACGCAGCGAAAGCUGUGCUAAUACCGCAUACGCCCUGAGGGGGAAAGCGGGGGAUCGAAAGAACUCGCGCGAUUAGAGCGGCCGAUGCCUGAUUAGCUUGUUGGUGGGGUAAAAGCCCACCAAGGCGACGAUCAGUAGCUGGUCUGAGAGGACGAUCAGCCACACUGGGACUGAGACACGGCCCAGACUCCUACGGGAGGCAGCAGUGGGGAAUUUUGGACAAUGGGGGCAACCCUGAUCCAGCAAUGCCGCGUGAGUGAAGAAGGCCUUCGGGUUGUAAAGCUCUUUUGUCAGGGAAGAAACACCGGCUCUAACACAGUCCGGGAAUGACGGUACCUGAAGAAUAAGCACCGGCUAACUACGUGCCAGCCGCCGCGGUAAUAC